rnacentral:rRNA from 1 species
AUGGCCAUACCAUGCUGAAUAUACCGGUUCUCGUUAGUUCACCGAAGUCAAGCAUCAUUGGGCGCGGUCAGUACUUGGGUGGGUGACCACCUGGGAACGCCGAUUGCCGU